rnacentral:misc_RNA from 1 species
GGAUGAAUGAAUUUAUGACACUUUUAAGACAACCCUUCUAUUUCGCAGUGAUACUUGUUGUCUUUCUGUUGGGCAAAGCCCUCUGGGUUCAGCUAAAUAUCUCUGGCGAAUUCCGCAAUGGCGCUCUACCUGGGAUCAUAUCCUUGUCGUCAAGGUUUUUGCCCGCAAUAAUGAACCUUCUUAAGAAAUUAUCCGAUGCAGGCCAAGCGUCUGCAGCUCCGGAACCCCAAAGAAAC